rnacentral:rRNA from 1 species
GACGAACGCUGGCGGCGUGCCUAAUACAUGCAAGUAGAACGCUGAAGAGAGGAGCUUGCUCUUCUUGGAUGAGUUGCGAACGGGUGAGUAACGCGUAGGUAACCUGCCUUGUAGCGGGGGAUAACUAUUGGAAACGAUAGCUAAUACCGCAUAACAAUGGAUGACACAUGUCAUUUAUUUGAAAGGGGCAAUUGCUCCACUACAAGAUGGACCUGCGUUGUAUUAGCUAGUAGGUGAGGUAAUGGCCCACCUAGGCGACGAUACAUAGCCGACCUGAGAGGGUGAUCGGCCACACUGGGACUGAGACACGGCCCAGACUCCUACGGGAGGCAGCAGUAGGGAAUCUUCGGCAAUGGGGGCAACCCUGACCGAGCAACGCCGCGUGAGUGAAGAAGGGUUUCGGAUCGUAAAGCUCUGUUGUAAGUCAAGAACGGGUGUGAGAGUGGAAAGUUCACACUGUGACGGUAGCUUACCAGAAAGGGACGGCUAACUACGUG